CAGACCAGAAAGUCGCCUUCGCCACUGGUGUUCCUCCAUAUCUCUACGCAUUUCACCGCUACACAUGGAAUUCCACUUUCCUCUUCUGCACUCAAGUCUCCCAGUUUCCAAUGACCCUCCACGGUUGAGCCGUGGGCUUUCACAUCAGACUUAAGAAACCACCUGCGCGCGCUUUACGCCCAAUAAUUCCGGAUAACGCUUGCCACCUACGUAUUACCGCGGCUGCUGGCACGUAGUUAGCCGUGGCUUUCUGGUUAGGUACCGUCAAGGUGCCAGCUUAUUCAACUAGCACUUGUUCUUCCCUAACAACAGAGUUUUACGACCCGAAAGCCUUCAUCACUCACGCGGCGUUGCUCCGUCAGACUUUCGUCCAUUGCGGAAGAUUCCCUACUGCUGCCUCCCGUAGGAGUCUGGGCCGUGUCUCAGUCCCAGUGUGGCCGAUCACCCUCUCAGGUCGGCUACGCAUCGUUGCCUUGGUGAGCCGUUACCUCACCAACUAGCUAAUGCGACGCGGGUCCAUCCAUAAGUGACAGCCGAAGCCGCCUUUCAAUUUCGAACCAUGCGGUUCAAAAUGUUAUCCGGUAUUAGCCCCGGUUUCCCGGAGUUAUCCCAGUCUUAUGGGCAGGUUACCCACGUGUU
rnacentral:rRNA from 1 species